GGGCUGCUCGGCAGGGGUCGGGGCAGAUUGGAGCCUCACAGGUGGGACGGUCGGGUCUGAGGCCCAGGGCAGGUGAGGGGCGGGCGCUGGGACUGGACGUCUAGACUUGGUGGCCUUGGACUCUGAGAAGAAACGUGGCGUCCCCAAAACUCUUUAAGCUUGGGUUUUCUCUUCUCCAGGAGGGGCCAAGGGAAGAAAGCUCGCGGGUUGCAUGCCUAAGAAUAGUUUAUGAGGUUUCCCCUCCGGUUCUUUAACCGGCUGCAGUUGCUCUCAGCUCAUUUCUCAAGAGGACGUGAGUGUGGUUUGGAACACUGUUUUAGCGGCUCUCACUGCUGAAGAAACUAGAAAGGAAUUUUUUUCUGUAGUGCAUUAGAAUGUAAAGAAGACAGUAAAAUUUACUCUUAAAGUAUGUUUGAAUGUAUAUAAAACAUUGAUUAAAUAUUUAAGUGCAAAUGUGUGUUCAAAAGAAGUAUUUAUAAUUGUUAUAAAUAUAAGAUUUAUAAUUGUUAUACUUUGUGCAUAUCAUCCUCUAACCUGUGCCUAGAAACUAAAAUCUUAUUUUCCAAUGUAGCAGUUGUUGCCUAUAAAGUUUUUUUUGGUAC
rnacentral:lncRNA from 1 species